UCCGCUGUCCUCGUAUCUUAUCCAUUUCUCUGGCGUCUCUGGCGAUGGCAACGGCGACGGCGACGGGUUGAGGGCUGCGGGGACGCCGCGGCGAGGAGGGGCAGGUGCUGCGGGGACGCCGCGGAGAGGAGGGGCAGUGGCGGUUGUGCGGCGAGGCAGGGCAGGUGCUGCGGAGACGGCGCGCGGCGAGGCGGGGCAGUGGCGUCGCGGGGGAGGAUGGAGGACGCCGGAGCAGAGGACGACAGCUCCCGCCGUCGCUGCUGUCCGCGCGCGCCCGCAUGCUCGCCUCCGUCCGCGCCCGCGCCGGAGCGCUGCUGUCUGCGUGCGCCCGCGUGCUUGCCUCCGUCCGCGCCCUUCAGCUCGCCUCUGCCCGCCGCGCCCUUCAGCUCGCCUCCGCCCGCGUCCUGCCGCGUCCCAACCGCCUCUGCCUGCCGCGCUUGCCUUUGCUCACGCCCUGCAGCUGGCCUCCGCCCUCGUCCUGCCGCGGUGAGCGCGAGCCUGCACCCGUGGCCGCGAGUAGGCUGAGCUUCCGAAUCUCUGACGGUUUUUGGAUCGCGUGUUUGAUUUGAAUCUCUGACGGAAAUCCUGCAAUCGUGUCCUUGUCAAACUCCUGCUCCCGUGUCCUUCUGAAACAAAGAAACCGUCCUGACCCGGAUUGGAGUUCGAUGCUACAAAUUGAAUUAUUCUCUGACGGAAUCCUGAACUAGGCCAACGCCACCAGCGAGCAGUGCACCGUUGAAUUGUUCUCUGCCGGAAUCGUGAACCAGGCCAGCGCCACCAGCGAGCAGUGCACCGUUGGGUCGUCACACCAUGCUCGGCAUCAUGUCGCCUUUGAGUACGCCGGAGGAACAUGCACCGAGUUCGCCUUUGAGUACGCCGGAGGAACCAGCACCGUGUUCGCUGGAAUUCUUAGUCCAGAGAAGCACUGUGAGUCCAACGAUGGCUACAACAGAGGUAUGUGAGGCCUCGACCUCCUCAAAAACAGCCCUGCUGUUGCCCCUUCCCUCAAGCUUUUAUGUGUUCAGAGAUUUGUUUAGAGAUGGUAACUGAGCAGUAGGUUGUUAUCUGUAUUGUUUGAUUUUUUGCAUGCACUGUGUCUGGACAUGAUGUUGGCAAAUACACUAGAGAUUAUGCUGCAAUCUAGCAUAUUUCUUCUAGAUGAGUUAAUUCAGAGGUUACUAUCAAAUACUCCCUCCGUUCCUAAAUAUUUGUCUUUCUAGGCAUUUUAAAUGGACACGACAUAUGGAUGUAUGUAGACAUAUUUUAGAGUGUAGAUUCACUCAUUUUGCUCCGUAUGUAGUCACUUGUUGAAAUCUCCAGAAAGACAAAUAUUUAGGAACGGAGGGAGUAGAUGUGUUCUCAGGUUCAGUAUUAAUUGGGGAGCUGCUUUUGCCUCAGUAGUUCAGAGUUUUCAGAUUUGAAUUAGCAUACAUCAGGGUAAUUCCUAAUUAACAAACAUUUGCUAAUUAAUUGGGGAGUUGAUGGUUAGGAUUGAGGAGUCACUGAUAAUUAGCCUGCCUUUAAGUAAUAGUUUGCUAAACAGGCAUUGCUGUCAUAGUAAGAUACAUCAAUAGAAUUAAGUGUCUGGAGUAACUUCAUAUUCAAAAUUGCCCUGCCAUCCAUGCAAUAAUAAAUAAAAAAAGUGAUUUGGCCUUGUUUUGGGUUUAUGCCGUUGCUUGUUGGUGCUGCUACUAGAUGUUGACAGAGAGAGAUUACAAUCUGCUAGACUGUAGGCACUGACCACAAUUACCUCAUGGAUGCUAUUUGUUGUUACUGCCAUGGAACAAGCCGAAAAGUUCAGACAAGGUUUAAUGCACACGUGGUUGUGGGUUGCCUAGGUACAAUCCUUUAGCUUAAUUUACGCUAAUUGUGCAUAGUGAUAAAUUUCUACAAGAAGAUGAAAAAGAAUUGCUUUCAGAUAGCCUAUGUGUGAACAUACAUCCUUCAGAUUUGUUUAUAAAAAUUCUGUAUUACUAAUAUUUCAUCAGAUGCUUAUAAGCAGUGCUCUAGGAGGAACUUUUAAUGUAGCUAUUUUUCAGACAUUUAAGGACUGAAGUCCGUUGUUGCUAGGCUCUGUUGUUGGCACGUGUAGAGUGGUCAGAAGAAGAUAGUCUUAUUGUGGCCCGGGAAUCACUUAUUAAAUACAAGGUGUGUGUGUUAUGUUUAGAACUUUUGGCUUCUGUUUUGUUCUAAUUGUAGCCAGUUCUUAUGAGAAAUGGUGUAUAUACCAAGUGUAGGUAGUAACUCGCAGAGGCCAAUUAGUUCUUAAUGUUCUAAAAACAUUCCAGUGUAUUGUUGUGGUACAAUGACAUGUGCCCAGUGUUGCCCAAA